rnacentral:rRNA from 1 species
GAUGUAACACGCACGCUGACGGAGCACGGGAGCUUGCUCCUGGUGGCUAGUGGCGAACGGGUGAGUAAUGCGUCGGAACGUGCCGAGUAAUGGGGGAUAACGCAGCGAAAGUUGUGCUAAUACCGCAUACGCCCUGAGGGGGAAAGUGGGGGAUCGCAAGACCUCACGUUAUUCGAGCGGCCGACGUCUGAUUAGCUAGUUGGUGGGGUAAAGGCCUACCAAGGCGACGAUCAGUAGCGGGUCUGAGAGGAUGAUCCGCCACACUGGGACUGAGACACGGCCCAGACUCCUACGGGAGGCAGCAGUGGGGAAUUUUGGACAAUGGGGGCAACCCUGAUCCAGCCAUUCCGCGUGAGUGAAGAAGGCCUUCGGGUUGUAAAGCUCUUUCAGCUGGAGUGAAACGGUGCGCUCUAACAUAGCGCGCUAAUGACGGUACCAGCAGAAGAAGCACCGGCUAACUACGUGCCAGCAGCCGCGGUAAUACGUAGGGUGCGAGCGUUAAUCGGAAUUACUGGGCGUAAAGCGUGCGCAGGCGGAUUGUUAAGCAAGAUGUGAAAUCCCCGGGCUUAACCUGGGAAUGGCAUUUUGAACUGGCAGUCUAGAGUGCGUCAGAGGGGGGUGGAAUUCCACGUGUAGCAGUGAAAUGCGUAGAGAUGUGGAGGAACACCGAUGGCGAAGGCAGCCCCCUGGGAUGACACUGACGCUCAUGUACGAAAGCGUGGGUAGCAAACAGGAUUAGAUAUCCUGGUAGUCCACGCCCUAAACGAUGUCAACUGGUUGUUGGGGGAGUGAAAUCCCUUAGUAACGAAGCUAACGCGUGAAGUUGACCGCCUGGGGAGUACGGUCGCAAGAUUAAACUCAAAGGAAUUGACGGGGACCCGCACAAGCGGUGGAUGAUGUGGAUUAAUUCGAUGCAACGCGAAAAACCUUACCUACCCUUGACAUGUCCAGAACCCCUGAAGAGAUUUGGGGUCCUAGNCAGGGGUUGAACACANGGCNCCAUCAACUGC